CCCUUAGAUGUUCUGGGCUGCACGCGCGCUACACUGAUGCAUUCAACGAGCCUAUCCUUGACCGACAGGUCCGGCUAAUCUUUGAAUCUGCAUCGUGACGGGGAUAGAUUAUUGCAAUUAUUAAUCUUCAACGAGGAAUGCCUAGUAGGCGCAAGUCAUCAGCUUGCGUCGAUUACGUCCCUGCCCUUUGUACACACCGCCCGUCGCUCCUACCGAUUGGGUGUGCUGGUGAAAUGUUCGGAUCGGCCGUUUGUCGCGGUUUCCGCGUCAUGUGGCUGAGAAGUUCAUUAAACCCUCCCACCUAGAGGAAGGAGAAGUCGUAACA
rnacentral:rRNA from 1 species